rnacentral:rRNA from 1 species
GAGUUUGAUCUUGGCUCAGAUUGAACGCUGGCGGAAUGCUUUACACAUGCAAGUCGAGCGGCAGCGCGGGGGCAACCCUGGCGGCGAGCGGCGAACGGGUGAGUAAUACAUCGGAACAUGUCCAGUUGUGGGGGAUAGCCCGGCGAAAGCCGGAUUAAUACCGCAUGAGCUCGAGAGAGGAAAGCGGGGGACCGUAAGGCCUCGCGCGACUGGGUUGGCCGAUGUCCGAUUAGCUAGUUGGUGGGGUAAAGGCCUACCAAGGCGAUGAUCGGUAGCUGGUCUGAGAGGAUGAUCAGCCACACUGGGACUGAGACACGGCCCAGACUCCUACGGGAGGCAGCAGUGGGGAAUUUUGGACAAUGGGGGAAACCCUGAUCCAGCCAUUCCGCGUGAGUGAAGAAGGCUUUCGGGUUGUAAAGCUCUUUUGUCCGGAACGAACGGUUGCGGUGAUAUCCGCGACUACUGACGGUACCGGAAGAAUAAGCACCGGCUAACUACGUGCCAGCCGCCGCAGUAAC